rnacentral:tRNA from 1 species
ACCUGAGUGGCUUAGUCAGUUAAGCGUCUGACUUUGGCUCGGGUCGCCAUCUCACGGUUCGUGGGUUCGAGCCCCACGUCAGGCU